GUGUUCGCUUCAGCAGCAUAGAUACUAAAAUUGGAAGGAUACAGAGAUUAGCGUGGCCCUUGGGCAAGGGUACCCUUGCAAAUUCAUGAAGCAUUGCGUAGUUUU
ensembl:snRNA U6 U6 spliceosomal RNA